AGCCAGUCCUCUGCCUCAAGGCUUUUUGGGUUUUCCUCCUAAGUUCAAUUUCUGCCCUUUUUAUAUACAGUCCAAUCUUGUUCCCCUCCUCCUGUGUGACAUGUAGCAGAUACAGGUAGUGAGUUAUGUAAAGUAGUCAUACAUGUCAUAGCAUGUAGUUAAUUGAACUUGUUAACAUAUGCAGAGUGUGCACUUUAUAAUCUAAAUAACCCUUAGUCAGGCAAAAGUUAAUUUUUCUUUGUUAUGAUGUCCUUCAAAGUUCCAGUCUUAGGACUUUGCCAUUCUGUCAAAGCCAAAAGAGGACCAUCCUCCUGUCUCCACGGGACUUCCUCCUUCAGUCAGUUCAUCCCUUCUUGAUGUUGACUAUGCAGAUCUCCAUCUGCAAAGAUAACACAGAGAGUACACAGUGUAGGCCCUAGAUAGUAAGCCUUAGCCCUUCCCUAGCUCCUUGGUCAUCAUCCCACUCCCCUUCUGAAGAAAGAUCUUUAAAAUUCAUUGUGUGCACUUAAAACAAAGUGUCCCUGUCCUGGUUUAUAAUGAUUGUCCUUUAGAAUGGAUUUGUUUUGUUAUUUAAUUGCAUUCUCUAUGCCAUGCAUCUUCAGACAGUUACUGGAAAUUUUUGCUGCUCUUAAACAAAGAAUCUUUUGUGCUAUAUCAGCUUGCAUUUUCUGGGAUUGUGUUGUGCUGGUGUCUUUUCACUGACUUCAGCAGUGGAGUAUUGUAGUCAUAACUUCACUAAGUAGACUUAAUAAACAUUAUUUGGCCCUUUCUCUAUGUUACAUCUUAUCAACUGAUCUGUGGGAAAUGCUCUUUAUGUUGUUAAGGCCUAUGUGCUAAUAUAAACAAUAAAUUAACCUUAACUGGGGGAAGUUUGAGACUCCUACAACAGUAACCCAAAAGAAAACAGAGUUUAUAAAAGUUGUAUACCUACCAAAUUCCAUGAAUAUUUUUAAAUGUUCUGCACUUAUUUUCUACAGCAGCCUUUUACGAUUGUCUUUACCAAACAGAUAUAAUGAAAAAUGUUCUGUAAUUUCAUAAUAUGAGAUGGUAAGGGAGAGGUAAAUACUGGGUUUAUUCAAUUGCAUUUAUAAAUUUCCUCUUUUUUUCAUAAAGUUAGGUGAACAACAGUGAACACAAUUGCAGAAAGAUUAUUACUCUGAAUUAGAGGGCAGCGUGCACACAUCUAUUGUACUAGUUUAUAGUGUCUACUAAUGAUAACUGUCAAAUUACAGACUGCAGUAAAGAGGUCAAGAGUGCUAAUUGAUUUAUACAGAAGUGCCUUGGAUUCUAAUGUUUAGAAUGCUAUUUCAUAUAAUAAAUUCUUAGAGCUCACAACUUGUGUCAUGAGAAGAGUGCAGAUUCUCAUGACACGGUAGGAGUAGCAGCAUUUUAAGCAGAAAGAGCUGAUGAUGGAGGCAUAGUUCUGGUAACAGGUAGUAUGUAGAAGCACAUUUGAACAAAGACCAUCCACAGCCCCCUCCAACAAGAUGUGCAUUUCCUCUGGAUUCUCGGGGGAGAAGUUUGUACUCGCACACUGUAGCACAUUCUUUCACUUAGGGAAUGCUAUAAGUUGAUACUAUGUUUCCAAGUGAAAAAGUUCAUCACUGACUUCCUGUCCUGGAAACUAAAGGCCCAAGAAAAUUAAGAAUUUUAGAGUUACUCCACCUAGGGUUGAUUAGCUUAAAUGCAAUAACCUCAGCCUGAAGUCUGAUUUGUCAAACAAGAGUAUUUAAACCUUUGAAUCAGAUAGCAAAGCAAAGUGAGGAUCAAAUAAAUGGGUAGUAAAACCUUGAUACCAGCUUCGCCACUCACUGUCUGGCUUUGGACAAUUUCUUUUCAGUUUGGUUAAAGAAGUGUGAAAAUACUCACUGUAAUUGGCAUUACAGGGCUGUGGAAUCUGUAAAUUAUUUAUUAUAUUUCAGAAAGAGGCUCCAAGGUUAGCAUAUGUAAAUCAGGAACCUCUACAAAGGCAUUUGUGUGCCCCUUGGCUUUAACAGAGCUCAGGGAUUUCUUAAACAUCAACACCUGUUCUAGUCUCAUAAUAACUACAAAUCUGUGAGUGCUUGAAAAGCAGCACUGGGAAACUCUGAUCUGAUACUUGAAACUGAGUCUGUAAAAUACUUUGUUUUCUUAACUUUGAGCCCAUGAGUUGUGCUAUUAAUUCAGUGCAGCUAAUCACUACAUUACAAUUAAGGUCAUGACUAAAGGCUUUGCUGGACUUUUAGCAGAUUGUUAGGUUUAUGAUUUAGGUAUCCUUUACAAACUUGAGCAGGUCAGAUCUCCUGAUUUAGGAACACACGAUCCUAAAUCCAGCUGAAAGUGGUGGACUUUGAUUUCUGUGAAAGUAAUUUUGGGGCAAGAGAUCUCUCAAGAUUUAGAGGUACCAUCACUUAUCUAGAAACUGACUAAUUCCUAUUUAGUUAUCUAAACUUUUCCAAUUCUACUGUGUAUGACUCAUAUUUAUUCAUUUUAUUUUUCUCAAGGCUAAAAUCUAUAGUGCUAUAAACCACCAUGCCUCAGGCAACUGCAAUGAGGCUACUACAUGUUACAUGUUUGAAGUUCUCUCUCCUGCUCAACACUACUUUUAACAUCAGCUUCAUUACUUGUAAUACAGUACACAAGAAAUGCAUGUAAAAAUGUAUAGUGCAUCUUCCACUUACGGAACAGUCUCAAAUUAAUUGCAAGGAGCCUACUGGAGAUAACAGAGAAUUGCAGUUUCUGUGGCUGAACAAUGUGUAAAGACACGUAGAAAAGAAGUUUCCAUACAACCUUCUUUCUCUGAAGGAAGACAAUUGCAAGGAAUCCAAGAAGAAUCUGAAUGGUGCACUUAAACAAAGGCUCCGAGAAAUCCUCAAUAUUUUAACACUGAUAGAUAACUUUUUGGCCACAGUCAUGAUUUUUCAGUAUUUAACAUGCAAAAUAUGGAAAAUAGUUACCCCACCAUGAGGCUGUUCCUUCUCCCUGAACUGAAGGUAUAGGUGUUCCAGUGAAAAAUGGCUAUAAUGAAUAUAAACAGCAUCCUUAAUAGAUUUUCCAUCUUAGGACAAACUGUCUUAUGAGACUUCAUAAAUGUUGGUAGAAUAUGUCUGGUGGCUUUAUGUUAUUGCAUCAAUCUCUAAUUUUGGCACUAGUGAGUAUGAGGAGAUUUUGCACCAUUACUGUAAGUCCUUUCAAAAAUGGAAGUUUCAUCUUGGUGCACUUGUGGAGCCUAGCUAGAAAAAUACAAGUCUAUAUAAUAAUGUUUUCCUCUAGCCAGUAAUGAAAGCAAGAGUGUAUACAGGAAUGCCAUUACAAGCUCAGUUCACUAACUCAAAAUAGUUGCUUCUAUUUAAUCCAGUUAUAUGUAUGUGUAUUUCUCCUUUUGUGACAACUGAGAGUACCUCCCUGGAGUGCAAUCAGGUUCCUACCAUUAAUACACAUAUCUGAAAGAUGCUGAAGGUUUUAGUGUUCCUAUAGCACCUACUUCACUUUUAAUUGAUACACAUCUUAGCCAUGAGAACACUCCUGGUUUCUUGUUUAGAGAACAGACAAAAUGAAGUAUUAAAAACUAAAGAAAAAAAGAAGCACAGAUUUCUUUAUACCUUAUUUGAGUGAAUGUGUAUGGUUCUUUGAUCAUACCAAAAGAAAACUGUUGAUGACAUGUGCUGAAAAAUAAAACAACAUAACAUAUG